CGAAUUUAACAAGCCAUACGACCCUACCAGAACCCCUAUUUUCCACUAUUAACUAUCCUUAUCCCUAUGUGAAGAAAAAAAAAAAAAAUCCCAGGAGUAAUAACUAUUAUGACCACCAGGGGUCAGUAAAAAUAACACAAUAAUGUAACUACAACUGCUAUAACCAAUUCAGCCGCCCGAGGUCGCCCUAACUGAAAUCAAUCAAUAAAACAAUAUAGUGUUCGGCAAACGAACGGAAAAUCAAGCCGUACUUAGAAUCUAAAGGAUAACCGACUAAUCCCACGAAUUCGAACCACGUUUUACCGAAUGCAUGGUAAUGUGCGCCCGUCGACCCAUUAGCGCGACGGCCGGAACUCAAAUUUUUUUGACAGGCUGUGAGCCUGGAAGCCGGAUCUCGUGUGUCUGCCUGCAGAGUCAGACAGCCGCGCUGGGAGCAGUUUUAUCCUCCAGGAAGCCUCACCACGAGCUGAAGAAUGAGAGACAGCUGUUUGGCCGGACCGGAAGUGACAACCACACGCAAUCUCCAGACCUAAGAUGGUACUGAGGGAAAGGCUUGUGCUCCUUAAGAAGGGGAACCAAGCCCUUCCCACAACUUCAGGCCCUGCCUUCCAUAUAUCUCUCCCCCUCUCUCCCCCCCCCUCCCUCUCUCUCCCCCC